AGGCAGAAUUUGUUGGAUUAGAUGUUUAGUUUUAGCCAGGUGCACUAAAUAGAGCAGACAAUCAAGUGUGAAUAGGGACUAUACCUAACGCAGGAGCCUAAACUCUUACUAUGCUUUCAGUUUAGAAUUUGCACUUCUGUUUAAAAAGCCAUGUAUCGUAGGAUUUGUUCACAUCAUUUCUAAAAUGAGACAGAGGCACUUAAACCCAGCUUGCACAAAAGUGCAUAGUCACGCUAGAAGGAACCACAUGAGCAUCAACCUACAGUUUGUGCUGCGGGAUUUAGCCUAUGAACUAGCCCUGCUUGUUGUGAUGGCACAAAUGCUAUAAGCCACUACAUUUGACACAGUUUCCAUUCUCUGACCUUGGACACGCCCGAGAUGAUCAGUGUGCUCCUUUUUGUUGGUGUCUUCCGUGCUACUUUGGAGGCGGACUCUGUCAGCUGGCGAAUGGCCGUCUCUGCAACAGGAUCCAGGCCAUUAGAGAGGCGGCUGCUCUCUGAGCAACAAGAACAUAAAUAUCUUGCAUGGAGUCACGGUCAGAGAAAAUGAUGGCUGCUUGGAAAGAGUCCAGGACAUCAGCAGACCCUCGUCCUCCACGUCUUCCAGACACACCACCACCUGAAGGAGACAGACAGGGGGAGCGAGGCAGCCAUCUGGGGCACUGUGGUGUUGUGCAUCCUCCUGGCAGAGGCUACAGAGCUCAUUUUGUCAUGGAGAGGGGAAUGCUAGCAGCAUUACCACAGAUUUGUCCUUGUGAACCACCGCUGAUCAACUGAGUGUGUAUUGGAGGGUAUUUCUGGAGAGGCACAGCUCCUGAGGACAUCCAUGGUGUCAUUUCAGGUUUGUCAGCGUCAGCCCCUUUGGGUCCGACUGGCCAAACGCCUCUGAAAAGCGUGUGGGUCAACCAGAAAUACACUCUCCCUGUGGCUUUUGUUGACCCUCAUCUUCCUCCCCUGUCUUUUCUUUCAGUUGCAUGUAUCUGAGGUUCAGGCAACAACAGGGCAUAAACUUUGUGGUUUAGAAUAAGCUAUUUCAAAUGUUUUUUGGUUUUUGUACUUUGACAACGAUAAAACAUCUAACAAUGAUUUGGAAUUGUUUGAAAGGGAAACAUUUUAGCCCACAUACAUAAACACACUGGUUUGAUAACUUGAAAGUGUCAACAUAAAACACGUUAAAGGUUCUUGUUUUUUGCUACCCACGCUAGCAGUGUAACUCAAGGGAUGGCAAUGUUUGCUAGCAAUGUUAACAUACUAACAUUGCUAACAAAAAAGAAAAUGCUAGAAUGCUAACAUACUAGAAAAACGGUGAACAUGGUAACCAUUACCUGCAAUAUAUCAGCAUAUUAGCAGUGUCAUUGUGACCAUGCUAGCAUGCUGCUGUUAGCAUUUACCCUCACACUGCAGCUAGCAUGACUUUUAUUCUAUAAACUGUUGAAAUCUAUUAAACAAUCCAUGCAUCAGCCAUCAAUCAUGCUUUGCUAGACUUAAACUGAUAUUGAGUAGGCAUGUGAAUUUCAACUGAUUUUAUAUUUUCAAUUUGAUAUUUGUCAGUGUUUUGAGAACUGCUCUACAUGCGCUAUACAUGG